rnacentral:rRNA from 1 species
AUGAAAAGUUUGUCAUGGGCUCUUGCAGCCUCUAAAAACUUCUAUAGAUGGAUCCCUGGGGAUGGUAAAAGCAUUGCCUUCUGGCAUGACAUCUGGAUUGGGGAUUGUUCUCUUAAAACUGUAUUUUGGGACCUGUAUACUAUUUGUCAACAACAAGAUUCUACCCUUGCGCAGAUCUGGGUGAGUGGCGAAUUACACUUAACUUUUAGGAGGUGUUUUGUGGAAAGUACCUUAGUUAGAUGGAAGGAGCUCAUCAAGGUUGUUGAGCCAGUGUGUCUAUCUGGUUCCCCAGACCAUCCUGUCUGGAUGCUGGAUUCUUCCAGCAAGUACUCUGUCAAAUCCUUUCAUAAGGUAAUUAACUUUGGAGGGAUAUCAUCUGUAAUUAAAGAUGAUAUCUGGAAAAUCAGAGUCCCACCCAAUAUCCAUGUUUUCCUCUGGUUGAUCUACUAUAAUAAGAGCUUAACUAGAGAUAAUCUUGCCAAGCGCAGGCAUGUAGAUGACAUGUCUUGUGUCUUUUGCAGUGAGCCUGAAACUAUCCAACAUUUAUUCUUUGAGUGUAUUGUUGCUAGACAUGUUUGGGAUUUGGUAGCUAAUAGCUUUAAUGUUACUGCACCUGAUUCCUUUGUUCUGUUGGCUUCCUUCUGGAAGAGGAGAAAAUAUUUUGAAGCUUUAAACAUUGUUACUGCUGCUAUCUUGUGGAGCUUAUGGCGUUUCCGAAAUGACUUUGUUUUCCAAGGGCAAAGAUCGCGAAGUAUACGAUGUGUUUUGGACCUGUUGGGGGCAACGAUCAGGCAAUGA